AGAGUUUGAUCCUGGCUCAGGACGAACGCUGGCGGCGUGCCUAAUACAUGCAAGUCGAGCGGACCAAUUAGAAAGCUUGCUUUUUAAUUGGUUAGCGGCGGACGGGUGAGUAACACGUGGGUAACCUGCCCUAUAGACCGGGAUAACUCGCGGAAACGCGUGCUAAUACCGGAUAACACGCCGAAGCGCAUGCUUCGGGGUUGAAAGAUGGUUCUGCUAUCACUAUAGGAUGGGCCCGCGGCGCAUUAGCUAGUUGGUGGGGUAACGGCCUACCAAGGCGACGAUGCGUAGCCGACCUGAGAGGGUGAUCGGCCACACUGGGACUGAGACACGGCCCAGACUCCUACGGGAGGCAGCAGUAGGGAAUCUUCCACAAUGGGCGAAAGCCUGAUGGAGCAACGCCGCGUGAGCGAAGAAGGUCUUCGGAUCGUAAAGCUCUGUUGUAAGGGAAGAACAAGCGCAGCAGUCACUGGCUGCGCCCUGACGGUACCUUACUAGAAAGCCACGGCUAACUACGUGCCAGCAGCCGCGGUAAU
rnacentral:rRNA from 1 species